CCAGCCUCCCCGCCUCCGGCCGGGGCUGUCUCCUGAGCAGAGAGGUCUGGCCCGGGCUGGGGAGGGGGCCCGGGUGCGGUUUUCGCCUGUGUCGCGGUUGGCUCUUUUGUCUUCCAGGCUGGGCCUGUGGGGGUCUCCGUGGGGCAGGAGCUGGGAUCAGGACACUGUCUGACGGGGACCGAGCGCCUUCUCCCAGAUAAGCGGAGGAUUCGGAGGCCAACAUGAGAUGUGGUCCUGCCCUCUCAGAUUUUCGUGUGGCGCUGCCCCGGCUGUGUCUCUAGGACUCCUGGCCCGCUGUCCUCCUGGAGCCCACGGGAGCCUGGACUCUGGCCAGCAGUCUUCGCUGGUUUUCUGGAACCCUGGACAGCUCCCCGAAGAUCUCAUCCUUCCUAACUUCUGAAGCCUCCCCUGGAUAAAGGCCCCUCCUGGUUGGUGCUCGGCUGAGGACAGGACCCGGCUCUGGCGGAGCGUGAGGGAGGCUGGCAGCCCACUGUCCAUCCCCUCUGCAUCUGCCUGGACCUGCCUACCUGUCCCACACCCGUCCAGGACUGGGGGCCUUUUCUGAGCCCGUGAGGACCUCACUGCUCCUCCCAUCCCUGCUGGUGACCGGGCGGAUCUCGGCCUGGGCCCAGGCCCCACUGACCACACCCUCCCUGAGGCUGGGUCUCACAGGACCUACAGGACAGGGGCAGGGACCUGCGGGUGGGCUGUCAGGGACGAGCUGCCCGCAGGCUGGAGGGUGGACGCGGCUCGGGAGUCAGUGGGCUGGGGCCUGUUUUGUGCCCUUUGCGUGUGAGUGAUUCUCAUUUCUCUGGGGGCUUCUGGGGUUCUUCUUCCUGGCUUCUCUCCCUGAUGGUCACCAGGAGGAGGCAGUCUAGGCCUCGGGGGGAGCUUGGGCCUUCCCCUAAUGCUGUGGAGCUCUGGGAGGGGUUAUCCUGAAAGGAGAGGGUUUCCAAGAGAGGAGAAGACCCCGGCCAGGGGGGCUUGUGAGAAGGAGACAGACCCUGGGCCUGGCUCCUGACAUCCAAAGGGAACAGUCCGGAAUCAGCCUCACCCUAGCCCAGUCUCAGACCCCUGCUCCUGGUCGCCCCCAUCCCUGGGAAGCAGAGACGGGCAGGGCAGGCUGCACACAAGUGCGGCUUCCCCAUCACUGGGCUGUGGGCUCACUCACACGCCCUCCCCUUCUCCAGUCGCCCCGAGAGGCUGGCCUCAGUGCUUGCAGGAGGGUGGCCAUGGCCUUCUGUGGAGAAGCUCAAGAGCCUGACGUCCUUUUCCUGGGGCAGGAAGGGGCGCUGCCAUAACAGAACUCCACCCCUGGAUGGCUGAACUGCAGAAAUGUAUUUUCUUAUAGUUUUGGAGGCUGGAAGUCCAAGACCAAGGUGGCAGGGAUGGUUUGUGGUGAGGCCUACCUCCUUGGCUGGCAGAUAGAAUCUUCUUGCUGUGUUCUCACAUGGCCUUCUCUCUGCGCAUAUGCAGAGAGAGAGAGAGUGUGAGAGAGAGAGGAGAGAAAUAGAUAUCAGGCAUCUCUUCCUUUUCCUGUAAGGGCACUGGUCCUAUGGGGUUAGGGCCUCAUCCCUGUGACCUCAUUUAGCCUUAAUUACCUAAGCCAAAGCCCUUCCUCCAAAUAGAGUCACAUCAGGGCUGUGAAUAUGGAGGGAGAUGCAAUUCAGUCCAUAGCAGGUGGUCACCACAAACCUGGAAGCUGGCGUCAUCUCCCCUUUAGAAUUCCCACCCCCGAUGGGGACGGGAAGGAGAAGCAGAGGCAUGGGAAGCAGAAGCAGUGUGGCAGGUCCUGUGCGAGGGUGGCCCUGGGAGCCUUGGAGAGACACGGAACUGGCCGAACCCAGAGCAGUGAAGAGGAGCCCCCCCCGGGGAGAAAAGGGUCCUGUGAAGAGCUUGGGCUUUGGAGCCUGAGGGCUACGCUCUGAGGUGCAACCUUGGGCAAGUCACCUCACCCCUUUGAGUCCGAUUGCCACUCUGAAGCAGGAGCCAUCUGCUUCCCCGGGGACCGCGGCACAGGGAGAAGUCAGUGAGAUCUCACGACUGGCACAGCGCCUGACUCUUAGUAGGUGCUCAAUAAAUACUCCCGUCCGUCUGGGAGUUUGGAUUUAGGGCUUCUCUCUUUUGGACACCCUGGACUGUAAACUCUGCAUCUUUGAUCCAGAGGCAUUUCUGACCAGUGCUUCCCCAACUGUAUCUUUUUGUUUGUUUUUGGCUGUGUGGGGUGGCAUGUUGGAUCUUCGUUCUUGGACCAGGGGUCGAACCUGUGCUCCUGGUGUUGAGAGUGCAGAGUCUUAACCUCUGGACUGUCAGGGAAGUCCUCCCCUCUUAUAUCUUUAAUAUCCCUCUCUAAUCAGAUCAAGGAUCUACUGCAUGGCAUGGCCUCCACAGUAGCUCUGAAUGCUUCCUGGGGAGUUUAAUAUCUACCCUUCUUAUCAGAAUUGAGCACCUACUGUGAGUCCUUCCCUGUGCUACUCAUUUGAGGGGGAUAUAAGUGCCGAUAUAGCCAUGAUUCAAGCCUGCAGGAUCUCACAGCCAUGUCAAGGGGGAGAAAACCAGUCCACCCAGAGAAUGAGAGGAUGGGGCAGAAAACAGUCUCCUGAGGCACAGGUUCUGAGGGCUUGGGUGGUGGGAGGGAGACCCCAGAGUAGGCUGGAAAGGCUUCCCAGGGAGGCUGAACCAAUCAGGACCUUGGGAGGAUGAGAAAAAUGUGGCUUAGCUGGGAGUUUUCCAAGGGAAAUUAGGUAAGAGAUUCCCAAAGUAAGUUCUAAGAGAUGUCAUUGCUCUUUAAAAAAAAAAGAAAUUAAAACUCAGUAGGUUUCUGUAGUGCAGGACUUAUCAGAGCCUUUAAAAGUGCUGAUGGGAAUUGUGAAUACUCAAGGACAGACAGAGGACUAAGUAUUUUCCCCCAAGCUUUACUGUCAACAAAACCCUUUUCUUACGGAGCAUGAUUUAGAACUGCAGAGUCUAGGCUGGGGUUUCUGUGGGAGAAUGAAAACAGUGAUAGGAGAUGACAAAACCAGGGCACACUCAGGUGCCGGGGAGCAGUGGUGGGAAGGCAGCUCUUUCCCUGGGGCCGGCAAGUCUGAACUCAGCUGCAGGAGUCAGGGAAGCUCUACAUGGCAAGAGCGUUUGGGGGAAGGGUCGGCCAGCGGUUGGGGUAGCCAGAUGCCUGGCAGUCGGGGGCGGAGGAGCUGUCCACUGGAGCCGGUGACUCUGGGGUAUCAGACCUUUUGUGAGAAGAUGCUGGUAUGUGCGUGUGUGUGUGUGCCUGAGUGUGACAGGAUCCAGCCUUCUGGGAAGGGGUGACCGGCACCAGGCAGGGGGUCUUUCCAGCCAGCACCAGCGGCGUCCAUUUCUGGGGGAUCUGAAGUGGCUGGGGGAGGGGCCCUGAGACCCGCCGCUGAGAAGCAGAUUCUUCUGGGCAGGGUCCAAGUGGACAGUUGAUCCUGGGGGCGGGGCUGAGGCACUGGCGGCAGACCCCCUGCCCUGGUCAGGCCCGGUUCCCUGGCUGGUGGGGGCGGGCGGCCUCUGGAGAUGCGGCUGGGGCAGUGUUGCAUGGUGGGAUUAACCUACUAACCCAGGGCUCGGCCGGGACGCUGUGGCGUGUAGCGAGGUGCCUGGCCUUCUGCCAACCGACUAACCCACUAACCAGGCCCGAGCAUGCCCUACUAACCCCCCCGCAGCCAGACCCUACUAACCUCGCAGCUCAUGGGCCUUCCCAGGGGUGGGGAUGUGGGGGCAGACGAGGCUCCGGAAGGCCCUGCCCGUGGCCUGGGAUCUCUGUGCAGACCCACAUUCCAGGACCGGGCGCGCAAACAGGACUUGCCAACUCUGCCGCUUCCUGCCGGGGCGGGGGGGCGGGACUUGGAGAGUCAGUCACCCCACCUCUCUAAGUCCGUUUCCUUGGCAGUGGAAUGGGAGGCCACCUCCCAGGAGGAUAGAGUUCUUGACACAUGGCAGAUACUUAAUCCACAUUUAUGCGAGGUGGGGGUGGGAGGCCCACAAAACCGGACCCAUCGGGUCCCCUGGCAGGCCCUGGUCCCUCUAGGUGGUUUGCACACAGACCCCUCUGCCUGGGGCCAGACACUUGCUUUGAACCCUUAACUGUGUCUUUCCCCACACUCUUCCUCUCCUCAGCUUUUUCCCAUAGGCAGUUCUUUCGUUCAAUUACUAACCCGUCUAACCCCGGGGCGGGGGGGCCUCAACUGCACCCCGACCACCCCCCCUAACAAACUAACGGACCCGAGUGUGUUCCUCCUUUUCUCCUAGCGACUCCCGUCCGUGUGUGUCUGCUGAGGUGCCCCUGUCCGCUGGUGCUGCGCUCUGACUUACUAACCCAGCCCCUACUAACCCUGUUUUCUCUUCUUACUAACCCCAGCCCUGCCGAGCUCUGGGCCCCCUUGGGGGCUAGUUACCCCCUCCUUUUGGCAAGCAGACGUCCUAGGCUGGUCCUGCAGACAGAUGCUCCACUUUGCUGCCCCGAUUGGCUGUGAGUUCAGAGUCCCCUGGGUCAGGUCUGAGGGGGGUGAAGGCCCGGAGGAAGAAGUGCCCCUGCGGUUCUGGAGGGAGGCUGGCCUGUGAGCAAAGCAUCUCUCUGCACAGAGUCUGGGGGCCACUGGGAGUUGGCCGGGGCAGGGCAACCUCUGCGGUGUGAGGGUGGAGACCUGCCGGUCUCCUUCCAGCCAAGGGAGCGGAGAGAAGGAGCCUCUGGGUCCUUCUUCGGAGUGAAGUGGGGGUAGAUGUUUCUCACUGGGCAAGUGGCUGAUAGAGGCGGGGCGCCACUGAGGGGCGUGUCCUGCGCAGGAAGUCAACAAAGGGGGCGUGUCCCUCAAGGGAGUUAGUAAAGGGGCGUGUCCCACGCCGGAAGUCAGUAAGGGAGACUUCCUCCGCAUUGGAAGUCACUAAAAGGGUCUUAACCUCGGUGGAAAUCACUAAGGACAGCAUUUGGUACCGGAAGUUAGACAAAAGGGGGUAUUUCCUAUAUUUGAAGAAUGGAAAGAGGGAUAUUUGUUACACCGUUAGUCAGUGAGAGGGGGAUUUCUGCCUUAUCACAAGGCGGUGAGGGGGAAUGACUAAAGAGAUGAGUGAGAGGGGCCGUUCAUACGACAGGAAGUUGGCUAGAGGGGCCCUUCCCCCCAUCCCUUGAGCUGCGAGAUGCCGGUUUACCACGCCAGAAGUAGGUGUGGUCCAUUUCCCCUACAGUUGCCUUUGAGAAGGGCAGUCCACACUGGGAAGUUUGAGAAAACAGCAGAUCUGAAGUUUGAGAAGAAAGCAGAUCUUGGGUAGGGGGUUUGCGGGAGAAAGUGGGAAGCAACCAAUGAACCCCAGGUGUCCACAGGGCCCUGCAGGCCUUGGACCACUCAGAAAUUAACCCCUGGCUCCUUGUUCUUUUCACCCCCACGUCCCUACCCCAGCCUGUCUACCCCAGAGCCCGCCAGCCGCUAAGCCAGGGCCACACCUGGGGGUGAUUUUAUGCCUCACCUCCAGUAGGCACCUUGGUCUCUUUGGGCUAAUCUCUGGCUCCUCUGCACUAACUCCUGCUCUCACCCAGCUAAUCCCUGCCUUGCCCUGGCUGCCCCAGGGGCUGACCAUUAACAGCCAGCCCUGCCCACUGGGGGGGCUCCAGGCUCCUGGCCUGGCUCUGACCUGCUAUUAACCUCUCCUUCACCUGACUAACUCCUGCCCUCCUGAUCUGUUCCUUUCAGCAGAAACUAACGGCUUGUGGAUUUCUUUCUGACUAACAACAGGUCUAACACUCCUCGUCACUAUUACUAUUAACAGCUUGGAUGUCGGCAUGGCUGGGACUUGACUAACAGGGGAGAGGCAGAGCUAGUCGUGUGGGCUGUGGUGAUGGCUCUGGGGAAGAGCCAGCUGAAGUCAGGAAAGACCUCGAUGCUCAAAAGGAGAUGUCGAGGCUGGGCUGUGGCUUAGGCCGAAUGGAGGAGUGGUGUCUGCUGUGGGGUGGGUGGGGUGGUGGGGGGUGGUCAGAAGCAUAGUCAGCCUUCCAAGAUUUUGGCUGCUAGACAUAGCCUAUUAACCCCUUAUAAUUUGCAUUCGGAUUCUGGUUCUUUUAAACAAUAGCCUGAUAGUUGUAUUAGUGCAUGCAGCUUUUGUAGCCCCCACCCCGCCAAAGGCCUGUCUAGUGUGUAGAGAGGAGAUGCCAUUGUAAUUGGAAUCAUCAGUCACCAGGGGAGAGCCUAGAGUCCUGGAUCUGGGGACUUCAGAGUUUGGAAGCCUUAAAACAUAAAACUUUAAACUGAAAUAGUCAGAUGGGUUAUAAAUCCAUCACCCAUUGACACCUUGGUGUAAAUUAGCUCAUCUUUCUAACUUGUGCAAUUUAGCUGCCCUGGGAGGACCAGAAUGUGGCUGGAAGGGAGUCUGCAUCUCUUCAGGCCUGGGGAGGCUCCUCUGGGAACAGAGAGGAGAAGCUAGAAUCCGGGGGUUUCUAGGUGGGUGUAAGAGGGGAAACCAUGAGGCCGGGGAGGGGGGAUGAGAAGAGGGGCUGUUUUGCUGAUUUGGUCUGGUAGUCAGGGUCUGUGGGACAGGACAGCUUAUAGCAGGGCCUGGAGGACUGGAUCAGCUCAGGGGCAGGGGCAGUCCUGCCUGGAGGCCUUAUGGGCAGCUUGCUUGGGUCACUGAAUACUGUUGUGGGGUUGAGGGCCUCUCUGAAAGUCAGAGACUCAGAGCUAAACUCGUGGAGCCGCUGGUGAGGUCUGCAGGGUGAUCCAGGGGCCUGAGCUGCAAAGGGGAGGAGAGAGGAGGACACAUCAGAACCUGGGAUGAGGGGGGAGCCUGAACGGAGGAAGCACGUGCCUGCUGCCCUCUAGUGGCCGCCUCGCUUCAUUUCACUGGAAACAUUUCCCAUUCUGGGGCCUCUUUCAGUUCAGUUCAGUCCCGUCGCUCAUUCGUGUCCGACUCUUUGCGACCCCAUGAAUCGCAGCACGCCAGGCCUCCCUGUCCAUCACCAAUUCCCGGAGUCUACCCAAACCCAUGCCCAUCGAGUCGGUGAUGCCAUCCAACCAUCUCAUCCUCUGUCGUCCCCUUCUCCUCCUGCCCCCAAUCCCUCCCAGCAUCAGGGUGUUUUCCAGAGUCAACUCUUCACAUGAGGUGGCCCAAGUACUGGAGUUUCAGGGGCCUUUAUAUUAAACUGCAAAGACCUGACGAUGCUGAGGAACUACUGUGUGCCCAGCACUGCUCUGGGUCUUGGACCACACACAGGCUUUUCCAUAGUUCUUGACUAACUUGGUGGAGGAGACAGAGAAAUAAAACAGGUAAUGCAGUGAGGUGGGCACCAUGAUAGGGGUGAUGGGCCUGUGGAAGUGCCCAGGAGGCAAAGGAUGAGAAACACCUGCUGCGUGCCAGGGGCAGUUCUAGGCACCAGGGAUGGGUGGUGAUUAAAUAUGAUACAAGCCUUCAGGAGCUUUAAUGCUAGCGUAUCGAGUGGUGUGGGGUAGAGUGGGCUGUGGGCCACCAGUAGAUUUUCUGAAGAGCAAGGCAUCUAAGUGGACCCCCGGCUGGGCAGAGUGUGGUGGCAAGAAUGGCGGACAGAGUUCUGGGGGUCAGAGACGACUGAAGAAGUUCUGGAAGGGUCGUAGGGGACGAAGCAGGAGACUGAGGGGGAAAUGGACACAUACCAGAUGGUGUUGCCAGGAGGUUUAUCCUAAGGGCAAUGGUGGGGGGGUGGGGGUGGUUGUGGAUGUGAUCUGAGGAGGGGAGAUGUUAGAUUUGAGUUCUAGGCUGAUGACGUGACUGUUUCAGCCUAGGUGGAAUUCUGAGGAGCUGAUAACAUGUUCUGGCCAAAUUUUAGAAAACUGGUUAGAACUUCUGGAAAGGUGGCGGAUCCUCAGAUCCAUCUUAAGAUAAAUAAAGAGGGCCAUGUUCCUGCCAGGCAGGGGCCUGGCUGAGGGGACAACAACAGGUUGGAGGAACAGCCUUAAAAGCAUGUCGUCCCAAGCCCCUGGAAUGGUCAUGCUGGUCUGGGGGAAGACCUGAGGGUACGUGGUCCCGGGGCUGGAAGUCCACAGGAGAAUCUCGCUGGAGAGGGACCCCGUUAGUCCUGUGUGGCUGCAAGGGGGCAUGCAGGCUUGGAGGAAGCUUCUAAGAAGCUGGUCCCAGGGAGGGAAAAAUGCAUCUUGGUGGGUAAUGAACCUUCUGGAGACAGAAGGAUUGGGGGUAGGCCACCUUUGAGACUGAGGAUAGUGGUGGGAUUCUGGGAUUCUGUGUGUGAGUGUGUGUGUGUGUGUGUGUGUGUGUGUCCUUGACUUACUACCAGAGGAAGCCAAGCCCAGGAAGGCAACUCUAUUCUUCACCCCUGAGCCCAGCCUGCCGAUGCUCACUCUGGCCUGGACUCCUCUGAGCAUCAAGCUCGCUAGGAGCUGUAUCUCAGGAGCCCGGGAACUGGCGUCCCAGCUGGAAGAGGCGACUCAAUCCUUUAACAGCCAGUGUGGAGGGAGAGGCCAUGGUGGUCCCUGCUGGGGGGCUGUGCUUGUGUAGAUAUUGAUAUUGCACAUAUUGAGCUGCGGGGAUUCCCUGGGGGGGACUGGUCCCAUCCCCACAAAAGACCCCAAAGGCCCUCUUGAGCAUCUACCCAGGGAACCCACUGUUUUGCUUGAACAGACCAGAGAGGGCACUUUUCAUGUUACUGCCUCCCGGGGAUGCUAACUGUGGGGACAGAAAUUCUGCUGUUGAUUAAACAUACUUUUAUGUGU